CGCAUCUUGCGCCCCCUGGUUAUUCCGGAGAGCAUGUCUGUUUGAGUGUCGUUUACCCUCUCGACUCUUCAUAUUCUAUGAUAAGUCGGAUCGUGACUGCAUGCGGCCGCAAGGCAGCUCGGUCGAAAAUUAGACAAGUCUUUUAGAUGUCUGCUACUACAAAGCGUUGUAACUCCUCGCCUUUGAAGCGGCACAUAAAGAGACUUCACCAAAGAAAAGAAAGAAUAUGACCUCAAAUCAGGCAGGACUACCCGCUGAACUUAA
rnacentral:misc_RNA from 1 species